GGUUGUGUAGUCUGGGACAGGUCAGUUACAGACAGACAGGUUGUGUAGUCUAGGACAGGUCAGUUACAGACAGACAGGUUGUGUAGUCUAGGACAGGUCAGUUAGACAGACAGACAGGUUGUGUAGUCUAGGACAGGUCCAUUACAGACAGACAGACAGGUUGUGUAGUCUAGGACUGGUCAGUUACAGACAGACAGGUUGUGUAGUCUAGGACAGGUCAGUUACAGACAGACAGGUUGUGUAGUCUGGGACAGGUCAGUUACAGACAGACAGGUUGUGUAGUCUAGGACAGGUCAGUUACAGACAGACAGGUUGUGUAGUCUAGGACAGGUCAGUUACAGACAGACAGGUUGUGUAGUCUAGGACAGGUCAGUUACA